AUUCAAAUCAAUUCCAAUAAAGUUUAUAGCGGAAAAAGUUUUACGAAUUUAAUUAAACAAAUAUGAAACUAUUACAAUUAUUCCUUGUGGUUGCAGGUAUUGCUGCCGGUGUUUUGGGAGCUCCAGAUGGUAAUAUAUUGAAUGGCAUCCAAAAUUCUGGUCAGAUGUAUGUACAUUGACCCAAAUGGUUGGAUGAUGGACUAAUAGUAAUAACAAUGAAUUGAAACAUUUGGAAUUUUACACAAAUUAUUGAAAUAAAAUGUAGAAAUUACAAAAUAUUUAAAAAUUA